CGGGUGAGUAACGCGUAGAUAAUCUGCCUUAGACUCUGGGAUAACAUCUCGAAAGGGGUGCUAAUACCGGAUAAGCCCACGAAGACGUGAGUCUUUGCGGGAAAAGGGGGCCUCUGCAUAUGCUCUUGAUCUAAGAUGAGUCUGCGUACCAUUAGCUUGUUGGUAGGGUAAUGGCCUACCAAGGCGACAAUGGUUAGCUGGUCUGAGAGGAUGAUCAGCCACACUGGGACUGAGACACGGCCCAGACUCCUACGGGAGGCAGCAGUGGGGAAUUUUGCGCAAUGGGGGAAACCCUGACGCAGCAACGCCGCGUGAGUGAUGAAGGCUUUCGGGUCGUAAAGCUCUGUCUAGAGGGAAGAAGUGAUAUUUGGUUAAUACCCAGAUUUCUUGACGGUACCUCUGAAGGAAGCACCGGCUAACUCCGUGCCAGCAGCCGCGGUAAUACGGAGGGUGCAAGCGUUGUUCGGAAUUAUUGGGCGUAAAGCGCGUGUAGGCGGUUUGUUAAGUCUGAUGUGAAAGCCCUGGGCUCAACCUGGGAAGUGCAUUGGAAACUGGCAGACUUGAAUACGGGAGAGGGUAGUGGAAUUCCGAGUGUAGGAGUGAAAUCCGUAGAUAUUCGGAGGAACACCGGUGGCGAAGGCGGCUACCUGGACCGAUAUUGACGCUGAGACGCGAAAGCGUGGGUAGCAAACAGGAUUAGAUACCCUGGUAGUCCACGCCGUAAACGAUGAGUACUAGGUGUUGCG
rnacentral:rRNA from 1 species